rnacentral:rRNA from 1 species
UACAGAGGUCCCAAGCGUUGUUCGGAUUCAUUGGGCGUAAAGGGUGCGUAGGCGGCGCGGUAAGUCGGGUGUGAAAUCUCGGAGCUUAACUCCGAAACUGCAUUCGAUACUGCCGUGCUUGAGGACUGGAGAGGAGACUGGAAUUUACGGUGUAGCGGUGAAAUGCGUAGAUAUCGUAAGGAAGACCAGUGGCGAAGGCGGGUCUCUGGACAGUUCCUGACGUGAGGCACGAAGGCCAGGGGGAGCAAAACGGG